GCGGCUUUACAAUGGAGAUUGGCAAUCAGAUGCCACUGGAUCAGCUAUGGUGGUGUUCGGUGUAUCCUCUGUCUUGAGUCAAGGUGGGCAGCCAGAAACAGUAAUGGAAGCUGUGUCUUACUGCUUGGAAAAAACUUGCUCUCCAGGCUACAGGCAUAUGGGCGGAUUGCAAUUUGGAUUGGGUCUGAUCACUGAUGUAAUAAGCCUACUAUCACUGGGGGGUCCUGCUAUAAUCUGUGCACUCUGUGAUCUGCAGAGGCUAAUUCGGGCUGGGGAGGGGGAGCUGAAAGCUGAGAAAUCAAGAACUUUAAGAAGGUCAGAAACCAGAAACAAGCUGAAGCUUGCUGAGAGGAAGGUUUAUUUUAUUAUGUGUUGGGUGCAUGAGCAGCCAGGGGAAGCUUGGUCUUCCUUGGCUGCCAUUGUAGAGGCAGAGAGAAUCAAAGUCAUGGAGUAUAAUAAGGAUAGAACUUCUGCAGGAGUGAAGAAUAACGCAGGGAAAAAAGGGAAAGUUUCAAUCGAAGAGAUGAGUUAAGCUAACCAUUGUUGUAUGAUCAGCUCAGCUUAAUCCUGUGUAAAUUUAUUUAUUUAUAGACCUGGUUAGUGCCAUUUUCUGUAAACUAGAUGGA
rnacentral:misc_RNA from 1 species